GUAGGUGGCAAGCGUUGUCCGGAGUUAUUGGGCGUAAAGCGCGCGCAGGUGGUUCUUUAAGUCUGAUGUGAAAGCCCCCGGGCUCAACCGGGGAGGGUCAUUGGAAACUGGGGAACUUGAGUGCAGGAGAGGAAAGUGGAAUUCCACGUGUAGCGGUGAAAUGCGUAGAUAUGUGGAGGAACACCAGUGGCGAAGGCGACUUUCUGGCCUGUAACUGACACUGAGGCGCGAAAGCGUGGGGAGCAAACAGGAUUAGAUACCCUGGUAGUCCACGCCGUAAACGAUGAGUGCUAAGUGUUGGGGGGUUUCCGCCCCUCAGUGCUGCAGCUAACGCAUUAAGCACUCCGCCUGGGGAGUACGGUCGCAAAGACUG
rnacentral:rRNA from 1 species